rnacentral:rRNA from 1 species
AUAUCAAUAAGCGGAGGAAAAGAAACUAACAAGGAUUCCCCUAGUAACGGCGAGUGAAGCGGGAAGAGCUCAAAUUUGAAAUCUGGUAGCCUUCGGUUGCCCGAGUUGUAAUCUAGAGAAGUGUUUUCCGUGCCGGCCCAUGUACAAGUCCCUUGGAACAGGGCGUCAUAGAGGGUGAGAAUCCCGUCCUUGACAUGGACCCCCGGUGCUUUGUGAUACACUUUCAACGAGUCGAGUUGUUUGGGAAUGCAGCUCAAAAUGGGUGGUGAAUUCCAUCUAAAGCUAAAUAUUGGCGAGAGACCGAUAGCGAACAAGUACCGUGAGGGAAAGAUGAAAAGCACUUUGGAAAGAGAGUUAAACAGUACGUGAAAUUGUUGAAAGGGAAACGAUUGAAGUCAGUCAUGCUCUUGGGACUUACCUCCCUUGAGUGGGGUCAACAUCAGUUUUGAUCGAUGGAUAAAGGCACGGGGAAGGUAGCACUCUCGGGUGAACUUAUAGCCUCGCGUCAUAUACAUUGAUUGGGACUGAGGAACGCAGCAUGCCUUAUGGCCGGGAUUCGUCCACGUACAUGCUAGGAGU